rnacentral:rRNA from 1 species
CUGUAUGAAUGGCAUCACGAGGGCUUAACUGUCUCCCCUCCCCAGUCAAUGAAAUUGAUCUCCCCGUGCAGAAGCGGGGAUAAUACCAUAAGACGAGAAGACCCUAUGGAGCUUUAGACGUCAGAGCAGCCCAUGUAAAGCACCCCUUAACAAAGGAAAAAACCAAAUGAAGCCUGCCCUAAUGUCUUUGGUUGGGGCGACCGCGGGGAAAUACAAAACCCCCAUGUGGAGUAGGAAUACACAUUCCUAAACCCAAGAGCUCCCGCUCUAAUGAACAGAAAUUCUGACCAAUAAGAUCCGGCACACGCCGAUCAACGGACCGAGUUACCCUAGGGAUAACAGCGCAAUCCCCUUAAAGAGCCCUUAUCGACAAGGGGGUUUACGACCUCGAUGUUGGAUCAGGACAUCCUAAUGGUGCAGCCGCUAUUAAGGGUUCGUUUGUUCAACGA